rnacentral:rRNA from 1 species
UGGGGAAUCUUGCGCAAUGGGCGAAAGCCUGACGCAGCGACGCCGCGUGAGUGAUGAAGGCCCUCGGGUUGUAAAGCUCUGUGGAGGGGGACGAAUAAGCAUUGGUUAAUAUCCAGUGUGAUGACGGUACCCUUUUAGCAAGCACCGGCUAACUCUGUGCCAGCAGCCGCGGUAAGACAGAGGGUGCAAACGUUGUUCGGAAUUACUGGGCGUAAAGCGCGUGUAGGCUGCUUCGCAAGUCGGAUGUGAAAGCCCUGGGCUCAACCUGGGAAGUGCAUUCGAAACUGCGGGGCUGGAGUCCUGGAGAGGAAGGCGGAAUUCUCGGUGUAGAGGUGAAAUUCGUAGAUAUCGAGAGGAACACCGGUGGCGAAGGCGGCCUUCUGGACAGUGACUGACGCUGAGACACGAAAGCGUGGGGAGCAAACA